AUUACAUUAUUUCAGUUUAUAAUAAAAUUCCAACCACGAUUUUCAUUUUGUUUCGUUUGAAAUUUAAACAGCAAACAUGAAGUUAGCAAUAUUUUUUUGUUUUCUAACGAUAAUUAAUUUUUCUGUAGCCGAAACGGAGGACUCUAUAAUUGAGUGUGGGAGGCAAUUUGGAUUGGAAGAGAAAAUACAAGAAAACGAGUUAUCGGCGGGAGAAUUUAGAUCAUUAACGAAAUGUGUUUUUAAUAAAGAACGUUUGCGAAGUGAACACUUAAAUACUGGCAAUGUUUUAAGAAAUGGGGCUAUAAUGGAGAUGGCUAUGAGUGUUAUGCUAAAAAUUUGUAAAGCUGCGGGUGGAAAAUAUUCAAAAGACAUAAACGGCAAUUUACAGGAUUGUACUCUAAAAUACGGGUACAGAAAAUAAGAGUAGCGUUUAUAUAAAAUUUUGAAAUAUAAUCUAUUGAUUAAAGAUCAA